rnacentral:rRNA from 1 species
GACGAACGCUGGCGGCGUGCCUAAUACAUGCAAGUAGAACGCUGAAGGAGGAGCUUGCUUCUCUGGAUGAGUUGCGAACGGGUGAGUAACGCGUAGGUAACCUGCCUGGUAGCGGGGGAUAACUAUUGGAAACGAUAGCUAAUACCGCAUAAUAGUAGAUGUUGCAUGACAUUUGCUUAAAAGGUGCAAUUGCAUCACUACCAGAUGGACCUGCGUUGUAUUAGCUAGUUGGUGAGGUAACGGCUCACCAAGGCAACGAUACAUAGCCGACCUGAGAGGGUGAUCGGCCACACUGGGACUGAGACACGGCCCAGACUCCUACGGGAGGCAGCAGUAGGGAAUCUUCGGCAAUGGACGGAAGUCUGACCGAGCAACGCCGCGUGAGUGAAGAAGGUUUUCGGAUCGUGAAGCUCUGUUGUAAGAGAAGAACGAGUGUGAGAGUGGAAAGUUCACACUGUGACGGUAUCUUACCAGAAAGGGACGGCUAACUACGUG